AAUCUAUUUGAGAGACAUUUAAAGAAAUUUUUCAGCCAGGCGCGGUAGCUCAUAAAAAUUUUGAUUUUGUAUUAAAAAUUUUUAAAGCAUAUCAUAGACUUUUUUUCUUUCUAUUUUUUUUUUAGACAGGGUUUCACUCCCAUCGCCCAGGCUGGAGUCCAAUGGCACUAUCUGAGAACAUAUAUAAAAUACUCAGAGCAUGGUACAAAGUAAGGAUUCAAUAAAUGUCAGCUAUCAUUACUAGUA
rnacentral:lncRNA from 1 species